AUUGAACGCUGGCGGCAUGCUUUACACAUGCAAGUCGAACGGCAGCGCGGGCUUCGGCCUGGCGGCGAGUGGCGAACGGGUGAGUAAUGCAUCUGAACGUGCCCAGUAGUGGGGGAUAGCCCGGCGAAAGCCGGAUUAAUACCGCAUACGACCUGAGGGUGAAAGCGGGGGACCGAAAGGCCUCGCGCUAUUGGAGCGGCCGAUGUCGGAUUAGCUAGUUGGUGGGGUAAAGGCUUACCAAGGCGACGAUCCGUAGCUGGUCUGAGAGGACGACCAGCCACACUGGGACUGAGACACGGCCCAGACUCCUACGGGAGGCAGCAGUGGGGAAUUUUGGACAAUGGGGGCAAACCUGAUCCAGCCAUGCCGCGUGCGGGAAGAAGGCCUUCGGGUUGUAAACCGCUUUUGUUCGGGAAGAAAUCCUCUGGGCUAAUACCCCGGGGGGAUGACGGUACCGGAAGAAUAAGCACCGGCUAACUACGUG
rnacentral:rRNA from 1 species